UACAGAGGUCUCAAGCGUUGUUCGGAUUCAUUGGGCGUAAAGGGUGCGUAGGUGGCGCUGUAAGUCGGGUGUGAAAUUUCGGAGCUUAACUCCGAAACUGCAUUCGAUACUGCGGUGCUUGAGGACUGGAGAGGAGACUGGAAUUCAUGGUGUAGCAGUGAAAUGCGUAGAGAUCAUGAGGAAGACCAGUGGCGAAGGCGGGGCUCUGGACAGUUCCUGACACUGAGGCACGAAGGCCAGGGGAGCAAGCGGG
rnacentral:rRNA from 1 species